UUUUGUUCUCUGAUUGGAUGAUGAUAUCUUUGCAAAAUCUUCGGUAAUGUGGUUAGUUUCUCACAAGGAUUUCCACUGUUAAUUAUUUUAAAAACACGUUCAAAUAAUGUGGGCUGAUGGUUUCAACAAAAGCAUAUACCAUUAAUUAACAACCUUUUAACUUAGACAGUAGGCCUGUCUUUAAUAGUUUAUAAGUUAUCAUUAAAAAUCAAUUCACCUAAGAGAAAAUGAAUGGGAUUUUUACUUCCAGAAAUGGACAGUUGCACUCUAUUUGAGCAUGUUGCAGGUAGGAAUUUUCAAACAAACAAUCUUUUGAUGGCAUCACAUUGACACAACAGGGUAACCAACUUACAAAUGUCUUACAGUUGUAAUAAUAAACUAGGAUAGUUUAAUUAACAUCGAAAAACUACACCCCACUUUAGGUUGUUAUCUGAACAUUAUAGUUCAAUGUAAUGCCACACAUGUCAUGAACCCCUGAGAAACAAAUGUACUGAAACAUGAAAUGUUUUCUAAUCAUGAUCAUAACCAUAACUUUUUAGUCAUCACAGUAAGUCACGGUGAGUCAGUGUGUACUCACAGAAGGAGAUAUUGUUUGUGACCUAAUAUUUGACUAAUUAAACAACAAAAAAAAAUACAAUUAAAGCAGACAGCUGAAAAGCAGAUAAACUAGCUCGACUCAACCUACAGGUUCAGGUUAUUGAAACACCUUUUUUCUAUUUAUCAUCUCUUCUUGUGUGGAAAUCACACACACAACAGCUGACCCGUGACACUUAGCGGCCUGCUAACACACAAAAAGCCGCUCUCUCUUUCUUACACACGACUAUUAUGUUUAUGAUUGCUAUAAGAGCAGGUGAUAGAGACAGGUGUGUUUUCCUCUGUUUAUAGGGGCUAAUAAAAAAUACAUGAGACUGUGAAAAGCACAAAGUAGUAUUUAAGCAUACACACACAUCCACUAUCCACAAAUAAAACUUGCGUAUGUGUGUCAGAGGGCUAGAUGUGCGUAGACUUAAAAGUCUAAAUGAAGUGCAGAGUGGAGGAAUUAAACAGAAACAAAAGGAGAGCAGGAAGAGACAGAGUGACAGGAAGAAAGAAAGAGAGAGAGAGGGAAGAGAAAAGGAGAGAAAAAGAGAUGGGGGCAGUAAAAAAUUAACCCUUUCCUUCCCAGAACUUAGCUUACUCAUUUAAAAACUCAAAUGACUCUCACGGGGAAAGUACCAAGCACAGGCCAGAAAGGAGGUUACACACGCAAAUGACGCUUAUACAGUACAUUUAUGUGUUGCAAACGUUAAAAAGAAUUUAAUUCUAGAGAAAUUAAAUUAGUCAAGUGUAGUCCUGGCAAACGAUGCAAGUGCAAAUGUGGUCAUACCAGUCACAAUGGGCCUCAUAGGGCUUUAUGUGUUGGGUGUAAAUAGUGCUUGUGUAACAUGCACACAUAAAAACAGAUUAUGUUCAAUGACUUUAAACGUCAUUUGCACCUCCUGCUAAAACUUAGAUGCAGUCUUUGCUUUUUAACAAUGCAAGUCAAAAGUUACAUGAAGACUCUAAAAUUGUAUGCUGGUUUCUGCCUGUUGGGACAUUUUAUUGGGUUGAGUAGUUUUGUGUCACCCACUGCUGGGUUACAUUUCACUGACAGUACCUGCUGGGUAGUAACUCACUGCUGGUUUAAAAAUGAAAACACGGUUUGUCAACGGUCAUUUUGUCCUCCUGUCCUGAGAGAAAACGUCCUGAGGUGAUAUUCGUGAAUAGCGUUGAGGUUCGCUUGCACUGCAGACCGAGUGACAGACGCGACGCCGCCAUAUUAAAUUAUCAACGUCAGCGACGCGUUUCGAAACGACAGGUUUAAAGGAUGCCAGAAGGGCACUGAAACUGCUCCUGUCACUUUCUGAUGUUUUAUGUUUUAAUAUACUUGCCAUCAAAUAAAAAUACUGUUAUGUUUGUUUAAUGCCGAUUCAUUCUCCUGUAAACAGACAAUAGUUUAUCAAUAUAAAUAUAUAUAUAUUUUUUUUAAUUAUAUAAAUUCACUAAAUACUGUUUACAUUUUACCAUUUAUGAGGUAAAAUUAGCUCGCUUUUAUGAUC